rnacentral:rRNA from 1 species
UACGUAGGGCGCAAGCGUUAUCCGGAAUUAUUGGGCGUAAAGAGCUCGUAGGCGGUUUGUCGCGUCUGCCGUGAAAGUCCGGGGCUCAACUCCGGAUCUGCGGUGGGUACGGGCAGACUAGAGUGAUGUAGGGGAGACUGGAAUUCCUGGUGUAGCGGUGAAAUGCGCAGAUAUCAGGAGGAACACCAACGGCGAAGGCAGCUCGCUGGGACGGAACUGACGCUGAGGCGCGAAAGCGUGGGGAGCAAACGGG